AAUGAACGCUGGCGGCGUGCAUAACACAUGCAAGUCGAACGAGAAACUCCGGGCUUGCUCGGAGGAGUAAAGUGGCGCACGGGUGAGUAACGCGUGGGUAACCUACCCCUGAAUCUGGAAUAACCCACCGAAAGGUGGACUAAUACCGGAUAUUGUCCCGAAGACGCAUGUUUUUGGGAUAAAAGGUGACCUCUUCAUGAAAGUUGUCGUUCGGGGAGGGGCUCGCGUACCAUUAGCUAGUUGGUAGGGUAAUGGCCUACCAAGGCUAGGAUGGUUAGCUGGUCUGAGAGGAUGAUCAGCCACACUGGAACUGGAACACGGUCCAGACUCCUACGGGAGGCUG
rnacentral:rRNA from 1 species